rnacentral:misc_RNA from 1 species
GAAAUGCGAUAAGUAAUGUGAAUUACAGAAUUCAGUGAAUCAUCGAAUCUUUGAACGCAUCUUGCGCUCCUUGGUAUUCCUUGGAGCAUGCCUGUUUGAGUAUCAUGAAAUCUUCAAAGUAAAUCUUUUGUUAACUCAAUUGGUUUCUACUUUGGUAUUGGAGGUCUUUGCAGCUUCACACCUGCUCCUCUUUGUUCAUUAGCUGGAUCUCAGUGUUAUGCUUGGUUCCACUCGGCGUGAUAAGUUAUCUAUCGCUGAGGACACUGUAAAAGGUGGCCAAGGUAAAUGCAGAUGAACCGCUUCUAAUAGUCCAUUGACUUGGACAAUACUUUUAUGAUCUGAUCUCAAAUCAGGUAGGACUACCCGCUGAACUUAAGC